rnacentral:rRNA from 1 species
CCUACGGGGGGCAGCAGUGGGGAAUAUUUGUCAAUGCCCGAAAGGGUGAACGAGCGACGCCGCGUGCGGGAUGAAGGCCCUUGGGUCGUAAACCGCUUUUGCAAGGGAAAAACUUACGUGAUGGUACCUUGCGAAUAAGAGGUUGCUAACUCUGUGCCAGCAGCAGCGGUAAUACAGAGACCUCUAGCGUUAUCCGGAUUUAUUGGGCGUAAAGCGCGGGUAGGCGGACAUAUUAGUCAGAUGUCAAAUCCUCGAGCUCAACUCGAGAACUGCAUUUGAAACGGUAUGUCUAGAGAAUACGAGAGACCAGUGGAACUUAUGGUGUAGCAGUGAAAUGCGUUGAUAUCAUAGGGAACACCAAAGGCGAAGGCAUCUGGUUGGCGUAUUUCUGACGCUGAGCCGCGAAAGCGUGGGUAGCGAAUGGGCUUAGAUACCCUUGUAGUC